GACACUUUGGCCGAGUGGUUAAGGCGAUGCCCUGCGUAAGUCAUAACCGAAUGAACAUCAACACCGUGCAUCUUCUAACAUCUACCAGUACUGCGAGCAGUUACCAAGGCAUUGUAUUCGUACGCGCAGGUUCGAAUCCUGCAGGUGUCG
rfam:Purpureocillium lilacinum isolate PLFJ-1 scaffold00001, whole genome shotgun sequence.